GAUAGAAUGGACAUAAGCGAUGCACUCAAAGAGUUACAUUCAGCCAGAAACAAUUUUAUGCAAGCUAGAGUUGUGUCAUGUAUAUAGAAGUGAGUAAUUCAACUUUAAUUUGAAAUUCUAGUACCUGCAUGUAAACUGUGUUAAGAAAGUUUAUUAUUUUUCAUUGAUGAUAUAAAUUUCUAUUUUGCAGCAGUUGCAUAAGAUUCAACGUCUCUUUAAAGGUGGCUGCAGUUUCACCAAUAUUAAUAGGAAGUGAAUGCUGAAGUUUGUGGCUUUAAAUCACAAGUGCAAGGGCGGUUGUGUUUUAUGUAGGCCAUAAUUAUAUAUGCUUUAUGUUUGGGUAUACGCAAAGUCUAAUUAGCUGGUAUUAUAUGUGUGUUCAACUUGAAUAAAAUAAAUUAUACGUUUCAUGCAUAAAUAAUGGGAAGAUUUAACUGUUACACCCAUAUUCCCCUACUUUAAUAAAAUAA
rnacentral:misc_RNA from 1 species